AUACGGAGGGUGCAAGCGUUAUUCGGAAUCACUGGGCGUAAAGGACGCGUAGGCGGGUUGGCAAGUCAGAUGUGAAAUCCUACAGCUUAACUGUAGAACUGCAUUUGAAACUGCUAACCUAGAGCAUGGGAGGGGGAGAUGGAAUUAGUGGUGUAGGGGUAAAAUCCGUAGAUAUCACUAGGAAUACCGAAAGCGAAGGCGAUCUCCUGGAACAUAACUGACGCUAAGGCGUGAAAGCGUGGGGAGCAAACAGGAUUAGAAACCCUAGUAGUCC
rnacentral:rRNA from 1 species